rnacentral:rRNA from 1 species
CAGGGAUUGCCCCAGUAACGGCGAGUGAAGCGGCAAAAGCUCAAAUUUGAAAUCCUGCGGGAANUUGUAAUUUGAAGGUUUCGUGGUCUGAGUCGGCCGCGCCCAAGUCCAUUGGAACAUGGCGCCUGGGAGGGUGAGAGCCCCGUAUGGCGCACGCCGACUCUUUGCACCGCGGCUCCGACGAGUCGAGUUGUUUGGGAAUGCAGCUCUAAGUGGGUGGUAAAUUCCAUCUAAAGCUAAAUAUUGGCGAGAGACCGAUAGCGAACAAGUACAGUGAUGGAAAGAUGAAAAGCACUUUGAAAAGAGAGUGAAACAGCACGUGAAAUUGUUGAAAGGGAAGGGCUUGCAAGCAGACACGGUUUUACCGGGCCAGCGUCAAAUAAACGGGGGGGAAAAGGGGGAAAGAAUGUGGCGCGUGCCUUCGGGUUCGCGUGUUAUAGCUUUCUCUAAUACCCCCAUGUUUGUUUGAGGCCUGCGAUUCUAGGACGCUGGCGUAAUGGUUGCAAGCCGCCCGUCUUGAAACACGGACCAAGGAGUCUAACGUCUAUGCGAGUGUUUGGGUGCAAAACCCCAGCGCGGAAUGAAAGUAAGAGGUUGGAGCCGCAAGGCGCACAAUCGACCGACCCUGAAGUGCUCGGACGGGUUUGAGUAGGAGCAUAGCUGUUGGGACCCGAAAGAUGGUGAACUAUGCCUGGAUAGGGUGAAGCCAGAGGAAACUCUGGUGGAGGCUCGCAGCGGUUCUGACGUGCAAAUCGAUCGUCGAAUCUGGGUAUAGGGGCGAAAGACUAAUCGAACCAUCUAGUAGCUGGUUCCUGCCGAAGUUUCCCUCAGGAUAGCAGAAGCUCGUUACAAACAGUUUUAUGAGGUAAAGCGAAUGAUUAGAGGUCUCGGGGCGGAAAUAGCCUUAGCCUAUUCUCAAACUUUAAAUAUGUAAGAAGUCCUUGUUGCUUAAUUGAACGUGGACAUACGAAUGUAGAGCUUUUAGUGGGCCAUUUUUGGUAAGCAGAACUGGCGAUGCGGGAUGAACCGAACGCGAAGUUAAAGUGCCGGAAUGCACGCUCAUCAGACACCACAAAAGGUGUUAGUUCAUCUAGACAGCCGGACGGUGGCCAUGGAAGUCGGAAUCCGCUAAGGAGUGUGUAACAACUCACCGGCCGAAUGAACUAGCCCUGAAAAUGGAUGGNGCUCAAGCGUGCUACUUAUACUUCGCCGGCAUUGUGGCAAGCAAUGCCGAGUAGGCAGGCGUGGAGGUGGUGCG